rnacentral:rRNA from 1 species
AAUGAACGCUGGCGGCAGGCCUAACACAUGCAAGUCGAGCGAGGACUUCGGUCCUAGCGGCGGACGGGUGAGUAACGCGUGGGAAUAUGCCCUUUGGUACGGAAUAGCCUCGGGAAACUGGGAGUAAUACCGUAUGUGCCCUUCGGGGGAAAGAUUUAUCGCCAAAGGAUUAGCCCGCGUUGGAUUAGGUAGUUGGUGGGGUAAUGGCCUACCAAGCCGACGAUCCAUAGCUGGUUUGAGAGGAUGAUCAGCCACACUGGGACUGAGACACGGCCCAGACUCCUAUGGGAGGCAGCAGUGGGGAAUCUUAGACAAUGGGCGCAAGCCUGAUCUAGCCAUGCCGCGUGAUCGAUGAAGGCCUUAGGGUUGUAAAGAUCUUUCAGAUGGGAAGAUAAUGACUGUACCAUCAGAAGAAGCCCCGGCUAACUCCGUG